CAUUCGGAUUGUAGUCUGCAACUCGACUACAUGAAGCUGGAAUCGCUAGUAAUCGCAGAUCAGAAUGCUGCGGUGAAUACGUUCCCGGGUCUUGUACACACCGCCCGUCACACCAUGGGAGUCGGAAAUGCCCGAAGCCGGUGACCAAACCAAUAAGGAAGGAGCCGUCGAAGGCAGGUCUGAUAACUGGGGUGAAGUCGUAACAAGGUAGC
rnacentral:rRNA from 1 species